GGCGUAGCUCAGGGGUAGAGCACAACCUUGCCAAGGUUGGGGUCGAGGGUUCGAAUCCCUUCGCCCGCUCCA
rnacentral:tRNA from 2 species